rnacentral:rRNA from 1 species
UACGUAGGGUGCAAGCGUUGUCCGGAAUUAUUGGGCGUAAAGAGCUCGUAGGCGGUCUGUUGCGUCGGCUGUGAAAACCCGGGGCUCAACUCCGGGCCUGCAGCCGAUACGGGCAGACUAGAGUUCGGCAGGGGAGACUGGAAUUCCUGGUGUAGCGGUGAAAUGCGCAGAUAUCAGGAGGAACACCGGUGGCGAAGGCGGCUAUCUGGACCGACAUUGACGCUGAGGCGCGAAAGCGUGGGGAGCAAACAGG